rnacentral:rRNA from 1 species
GACGAACGCUGGCGGCGUGCUUAACACAUGCAAGUCGAACGGAAAGGCCCCAGCUUGCUGGAGUGCUCGAGUGGCGAACGGGUGAGUAACACGUGGGCAACCUGCCCUGCACUCUGGGAUAAGUCUGGGAAACUGGGUCUAAUACCGGAUAGGACCUUUCUCCUCAUGGGGUUGGGUGGAAAGUUUUGCGGUGCAGGAUGGGCCCGCGGCCUAUGAGCUUGGUGGUGGGGUAAGGGCCUACCAAGGCGGGGACGGGGAGCCGGCCGGAGAGGGGAAGCGGCGAAAUUGGGACUGAGAUACGGCCCAGACCGCGACGGGAGGCAGCAGUGGGGAAUAUUGCACAAUGGGCGGAAGUGUGAUGCAGCAACGCCGGGGGCGGGAUGACGGCCUUAGGGUUGUAAACCGCUGUCGCCUGGGACGAAGCGUGAGUGACGGUAAUGGGUAAAGAAGCACCGGCUAACUACGUG